UACUCAGCACAAUGGAUCUGAAUAAAUUGGCGGCUAAAGUACACAAGUGUCUGUACCUGAAAAGCGUGCACACAGAAUGGAGGAAGAGGUCAAGGAAGUUGGCAACCAAAUACAGGAUAAUCAAA
rnacentral:lncRNA from 1 species